rnacentral:rRNA from 1 species
UAAUUCCUCGGGACGCAGCAGUGAGGAAUAUUGGUCAAUGGGCGGAAGCCUGAACCAGCCAAGUCGCGUGAGGGAAGAAGGCCCUGCGGGUCGCAGACCUCUUUGGACGGGGAGCAAGGCCGCCGACGUGUCGGCGGAAGGAGAGUACCCGUAGAACAAGCAUCGGCUAACUCCGUGCCAGCAGCCGCGAUAAUACGGAGGAUGCGAGCGUUAUCCGGAUUUAUUGGGUUUAAAGGGUGCGCAGGCGGCACGGCAAGCCGGCGGUCAAAUCGCGGGGCUCAACCCCGCCCAGCCGUCGGCACUGC